AACGAACGCUGGCGGCAUGCCUAACACAUGCAAGUCGAACGAGACCUUCGGGUCUAGUGGCGCACGGGUGCGUAACGCGUGGGAACCUGCCCUUAGGUUCGGAAUAACUCCCAGAAAGGGGUGCUAAUACCGGAUAAUGUCUUCGGACCAAAGAUUUAUCGCCUUUGGAUGGGCCCGCGUUGGAUUAGCUAGUUGGUAGGGUAAAAGCCUACCAAGGAGACGAUCCAUAGCUGGUCUGAGAGGAUGAUCAGCCACACUGGGACUGAGACACGGCCCAGACUCCUACGGGAGGCAGCAGGGGGGAAUAUUGGACAAUGGGCGAAAGCCUGAUCCAGCAAUGCCGCGUGAGUGAUGAAGGCCUUAGGGUUGUAAAGCUCUUUUACCCGGGAUGAUAAUGACAGUACCGGGAGAAUAAGCUCCGGCUAACUCCGUG
rnacentral:rRNA from 1 species